UACGUAGGGUGCAAGCGUUGUCCGGAAUUAUUGGGCGUAAAGAGCUCGUAGGCGGUUUGUUGCGUCGGCUGUGAAAUCCCGAGGCUCAACCUCGGGUCUGCAGUCGAUACGAGCAAACUAGAGUGUUGCAGGGGAGACUGGAAUUCCUGGUGUAGCGGUGAAAUGCGCAGAUAUCAGGAAGAACACCCGUGGCUAAGGCGGCUCUCUAGUACGGUACUGACGCUGAGACGCGAAAGCGUGGGGAGCGAACAGG
rnacentral:rRNA from 1 species